rnacentral:rRNA from 1 species
GACGAACGCUGGCGGCGUGCUUAACACAUGCAAGUCGAACGGAAGGGCCCUGCUUUUGUGGGGUGCUCGAGUGGCGAACGGGUGAGUAACACGUGAGUAACCUGCCCUUGACUUUGGGAUAACUUCAGGAAACUGGGGCUAAUACCGGAUAGGAGCUCCUGCUGCAUGGUGGGGGUUGGAAAGUUUCGGCGGUUGGGGAUGGACUCGCGGCUUAUCAGCUUGUUGGUUGGGUAGUGGCUUACCAAGGCUUUGACGGGUAGCCGGCCUGAGAGGGUGACCGGCCACAUUGGGACUGAGAUACGGCCCAGACUCCUACGGGAGGCAGCAGGGGGGAAUCUUGCACAAUGGGCGGAAGCCUGAUGCAGCAACGCCGCGUGCGGGAUGACGGCCUUCGGGUUGUAAACCGCUUUCGCCUGUGACGAAGCGUGAGUGACGGUAAUGGGUAAAGAAGCACCGGCUAACUACGUG